rnacentral:rRNA from 1 species
CCUACGGGAGGCAGCAGUCGAGAAUCAUUCACAAUGGGGGAAACCCUGAUGGUGCGACGCCGCGUGGGGGAAUGAAGGUCUUCGGAUUGUAAACCCCUGUCAUGUGGGAGCAAAUUAAAAAGAUAGUACCACAAGAGGAAGAGACGGCUAACUCUAUGCCAGCAGCCGCGGUAAUACAGAGGUCUCAAGCGUUGUUCGGAAUCACUGGGCGUAAGGCGUGCGUAGGCUGUUUCGUAAGUCGUGUGUGAAAGGCGCGGGCUCAACCCGCGGACGGCACAUGAUACUGCGAGACUAGAGUAAUGGAGGGGGAACCGGAAUUCUCGGUGUAGCAGUGAAAUGCGUAGAUAUCGAGAGGAACACUCGUGGCGAAGGCGGGUUCCUGGACAUUAACUGACGCUGAGGCACGAAGGCCAGGGGAGCGAAAGGGAUUAGAUACCCCAGUAGUC